CGUACAUCCAGAGAACUUAGCAGAGAUGCUUGGUGCCUUCGGGAACUCUGAGACAGGUGCUGCAUGGCUGUCGUCAGCUCGUGUUGUGAAAUGUUCGGUUAAGUCCCGCAACGAGCGCAACCCUUAUCCUUUGUUGCCAGCGGUUCGGCCGGGAACUCAAAGGAGACUGCCGGUGAUAAACCGGAGGAAGGUGGGGAUGACGUCAAGUCAUCAUGGCCCUUACGGCCAGGGCUACACACGUGCUACAAUGGCGCAUACAAAGAGAAGCGACCUCGCGAGAGCAAGCGGACCUCAUAAAGUGCGUCGUAGUCCGGAUUGGAGUCUGCAACUCGACUCCAUGAAGUCGGAAUCGCUAGUAAUCGUAGAUCAGAAUGCUACGGUGAAUACGUUCCCGGGCCUUGUACACACCGCCCGUCACACCAUGGGAGUGGGUUGCAAAAGAAGUAGGUAGCUUAACCUUCGGGAGGGCGCUUACCACUUUGUGAUUCAUGACUGGGGUGAAGUCGUAACAAGGUAAGCGUAGCGAG
rnacentral:rRNA from 1 species